GCGGAGGAAAAGAAAAUAACAAUGAUUUCCCCAGUAACGGCGAGUGAAGAGGAAAGAGCUCAAAGUUGGAACCUGCUUGGCUUAGCCAAGCCGGAUUGUAAACUGUAGAAGUGUUUUCCUGACACGCCAGGCAAAAAAGUCCUUUGGAACAGGGCAUCAUAGAGGGUGAGAAUCCCGUCUUUGGCCUGAGCAGUUGUCUUUUGCGAUACACUUUCAAAGAGUCAGGUUGUUUGGGAAUGCAGCCUAAAUUGGGUGGUAAAUCUCACCUAAAGCUAAAUAUUGGCGAGAGACCGAUAGCGAACAAGUACCGUGAGGGAAAGAUGAAAAGAACUUUGAAAAGAGAGUUAAACAGUAUGUGAAAUUGUUAAAAGGGAACCGUUUGGAGCCAGACUGGCUUGGCUGUAAUCAAUCUGGGCUUUUGCCCGGAUGCACUUGCGGCCUAUGCCUGCCAACGACAGUUUUAUUUGGGGGAAAAAACCAGGAGGAAUGUGGCCCCUUUGCGGGGGUGUUAUAGCCUCUUGGAAAAUACCCUGGAUUGGACUGAGGAUCGCAGCGAAUGCCUUUAGGCGAGAUUGCGGCGUGCUUUUGCUGAUAAAUGCUAGAAUUUCUGCUUCGGGUGGUGCUAGUGUUUAAAGGUGGAACUCGCGCUGUAUAUUUUUUAUUCGCUUAGGUUGUUGGCUUAAUGACUCUAAAUGAC
rnacentral:rRNA from 1 species